rfam:Batrachochytrium dendrobatidis JAM81 unplaced genomic scaffold BATDEscaffold_9, whole genome shotgun sequence.
GCCCUUUUAGCUCAACUGGGAGAGCGCUCGACUUAAGCUCGAGAGAUUCGUGUUCAAACCUCGAAGGGGGCA